UCGCGUGUCGCCCUUGGAGGUAGUGACAAUAAAUCACAAUGCGGAACUUCUGUUUUGCAAUUGGAUUGAGAACAACGCACAACACUUAUCGAUAAACAAUUGGAGGGCAAGUCUGGUGCCAGCAGCCGCGGUAAUUCCAGCUCCAAUAGCGUAUAUUAACGUUGUUGCAGUUAAAAAGCUCGUAGUUGAAGUGAAGUGUGGAAGUUUAGCAUUUUCGUUUGAAUUUGCUUCCCUUCUAUACUCUUUCCAAAUAGUUUGCAUGGGUAUUCAUUUAUCUGUGUAUUGCAUUUGGUCAUUUACUGUGAGAAAAUUAGAGUGUUCAAAGCAUACGUUUGUUUGAAUACAUUAGCAUGGAAUAAUUCGAAAAGGCUUUCAUGUUCGAUUUGAUUGGUUUGUUCGUGAAGGCAAGAUUAAAAGGGACAGUUGGGGGUAUUCAUAUUCAAUAGUCAGAGGUGAAAUUCUCGGAUUUAUGGAAGAUGAACUAGUGCGAAAGCAUUUACCAAGGAUGUUUUCAUUAAUCAAGAACGAAAGUUAGGGGAUCGAAGAGGCUUAGAUACCCUCGUAGUCUUAACUAUAAACGAUACCGACUAGGGGUUAGUGGAGGUCAUUUGUCUCUACUAGUACCUUAUGAGAAAUCAAAGUCUAUGGGUUCCGGGGGGAGUAUGGUCGCAAGGCUGAAACUUAAAGGAAUUGACGGAAGGGCACCACCAGGAGUGGAGCCUGCGGCUUAAUUUGACUCAACACGGGGAAACUUACCAGGUCCAGACAUAGGAAGGAUAGACAGAACAAAGCUCUUUCUUGAUUCUAUGGGUGGUGGUGCAUGGCCGUUCUUAGUUGGUGGAUUGAUUUGUCAGGCUAAUUCCGAUAACGAACGAGACCUCCGCCUACCAAAUAGAAACAUGUAAUUCGUUAUAUGUUUCUUCUUAGAGGGACACUAUACAUUAAGUGUAGGGAAGCCGGAGGCAAUAACAGGUCUGUGAUGCCCUUAGAUGUCCUGGGCUGCACGCGCGCGACACUGAUUGAUUCAACAAGUGGCUGAUUCGAAAGAAUUGGCAACUCUUUUGAAAGUCAAUCGUGAUGGGGAUUGAUGUUUGGAAUUAUCAUCAUGAACGAGGAAUUCCUAGUAAGGGCGACACGCGAUUGCA
rnacentral:rRNA from 1 species